rnacentral:rRNA from 1 species
GAUGAACGCUGGCGGCGUGCCUAAUACAUGCAAGUCGAGCGAAUGGAUUAAGAGCUUGCUCUUAUGAAGUUAGCGGCGGACGGGUGAGUAACACGUGGGUAACCUGCCCAUAAGACUGGGAUAACUCCGGGAAACCGGGGCUAAUACCGGAUAACAUUUUCAACCGCAUGGUUCGAAAUUGAAAGGCGGCUUCGGCUGUCACUUAUGGAUGGACCCGCGUCGCAUUAGCUAGUUGGUGAGGUAACGGCUCACCAAGGCAACGAUGCGUAGCCGACCUGAGAGGGUGAUCAGCCACACUGGGACUGAGACACGGCCCAGACUCCUACGGGAGGCAGCAGUAGGGAAUCUUCCGCAAUGGACGAAAGUCUGACGGAGCAACGCCGCGUGAGUGAUGAAGGCUUUCGGGUCGUAAAACUCUGUUGUUAGGGAAGAACAAGUGCUAGUUGAAUAAGCUGGCACCUUGACGGUACCUAACCAGAAAGCCACGGCUAACUACGUGCCAGCAGCCGCGGUAA